ACGGACAAUGACAUGACAUGACAUUGCCGUGCAACAAAAGCUAGUACUCCCCCCAAAAGAAGAUGUCUUCAGCCAUUGAACCUGAAGCUAUGGAAACAGAUGUGGAUUUUGGGAAUUUGGAGAAUAUGCCUCUGCAGACGCAUGAUGUCGGAAUCCAGUGGCCAGAUCACAUAGAUCACAACCACAGUUUCAGCUGCGGUAACAAGCCGAUGAAGGACUGUGGCACUCAAAUGGAUCCAACACCAUCAGUAUCAGCACAAAAUUUAAAUAACAAAGACUUUAUAAUUUUUGUUGACUUCUUGCUCACAACCACUUGAUACCAAUUUGGCCGUCCAUGAACAAUUUUUACUUGUUUUAAUGAGACUCUGUUUGGGUUUAUUGUUUACUGACUUGGGUAAAAAAUUUGUCCUCUCUUUACAUGACAAUGGAAUGAGUUAUACACACGAUAUUCCUCAGUGCAUCCAUCAAUACCACACAGCAACCUGAAGUCAGGACUGUGGCUGUGCAUUCAAUUGAUGUGGCUCAGUAGGAGUUUCAGCGAAAAAGUGAUGAAAACGAGGCAGAUAACGCACCACCAAAUAAUUUUGAAAUCAACAAAAUUAUAUUCAAAACUUAUGCACAAGCAGGGUUUCGUCUGCAGUCUCUGAAAAAGCUGGGGGAAAGGUGCAUGAAACAAUACAUCGCUGAUGUACUUCACUACAAUAUCUCGCAAAACAGGGGACUUCUAUGAAUUAAUAUUUUUUAAAUUAGUAUUUAUAAUUGCCUCUAUGGGAGUAACUGGUGCAGUGAUACAUUUUUGAAUAUGAUGCAGGAAUUUCAAAUUAUGACUCCGUCUGUUAGUCGUAUUCUCCAUUUGUACAUUAUUUACAACAUGUUUGUCACCCCAUUAUAUGACAUGGUACCUUCCAAAUGGGAACGUGCCAACAGGGGUCAGUCUGUGGUCGGUUCAGUUGCAGCCGGGGUCAGUUGCAGCCGCUGCCUGGCACUUAAGCUGUCCUCCAUCAUGCUGUCUGAAGUUUAACCUGUUUCAAUUCCUCUAAAGUUGCAAUGCCAUGGAUAACUUUUCCGGGUAUGGAUCCUACAACAGUUCCAGUAUUGAGUAAGUUAAGUAAGUUAAGCUAAUUGUGAAGUAGGCUAACAAGUGCUAACAUGCUAAUUUUAACAAGCUGGUUUACUUGCUGAGCUAUUACAUGUUAGCAAUGAACAGUUGGUAACUACACUAACAGUCAUCCCUUCAAAAUGUAUUGACAGUGUUUCAUUGCCAGAAACCAUGUGUGUGCAGUGUGGGCAGUUAGCUUAGUUUAACGUUGGCUUAAUUUGUUGGCUUAUGUUAACAUGUCUCAUGCACCGUUUUCCAAGAGACAUGGUGGAAAGGUCUCGGACCCUCUGCGCUGUGGGGGUGGUGGGGGACCAUAUUCGCAGGGCAAUUGGAACACUGUGCAAUUAGCUAUUUUGCUCACUUAGCAUUUAUUAAUGUUCCAGCAUGAUCUAUGUAUGCAUAUAUGUGUGAGAGACGCAGUCCAGCUGGGGAAGGGGCUGACUGAAGGAGAUGGGGGAUGGCAGCCUACUUAAUUAAUGGGAAACACUGGUUGAUGUGUUAAAAUCGUUUCUGCCUUUAGUGGAAAUGGCAGGCAGACUUGACCUUAAUGUAGACAACUUACUGCUUGGAGGUGUGCUUCUCGGCUGCCAUUAUCAGCACAUUCUCACCCUUUGAAAUACAGAUUGUGACUUAUCAACCAAUUUAUUGCAUUUUACUGUAUAUUCACAGUGUGGUUGUAUGUGAUUUUCAACUGCUAAUAUCAGCACAGACAUGCUUCUAGGUCUUUCUGAGGAGGGUUUGCAUGAUCUCUUUCUGGGGCCUGAGCACUUUUUAAGAAGGAGAGCCAUUUGGAGGAUGACACAUGGAGAAACUGAGGGUGAAGAGUUAGACCAGCUUCGACCAGAUACUUCGUCUGGGACUUGUGAACUUGCCAGCUCCCACUGCCCCACUACCUCAACCCUUGUGCCCACCACUUCUCCCCCCCCCCCCCUUUCAAACCCAGGAGACCAACAUGUCACCAGCAGAACUGUACAGCUUGUAAGUCCACAAUAUGUUGUAUACAGAGACACAGAGCUGGAGCAGUCAAGAACCACCUUUUCUGAAAAAAAAAAGUGCUGGACAAGAAGGAGACUAUACACUCUCCAAAGAGCUUCGCUUUUGCUUAAUAAGGAAUACAGUGACAAGCAGGAUUGUCAUCAACAGAGCUGCAGGGGAUGAAUUCCAAUAUCCAUGCAGCCAUGAGCUAACUGUGAUGGCUAAGCAUCUCAUUGAGUACUACCCAAGGUCUGGAGCCAGUGGAGCUGAGUGGGAAUCUGUGAAGAAGCAGCUUUUGAAAAGGGUCCAGAAUGUGACACCCCCCAAAAAAGAAGCAGGGAGCAACUUCGGAAGAAAAAGGGCAACUGGGCAUUAGCUUUGAGAGCAGCAGCAGUCAGCAGCAGCCAGGAGUCAUCCACUGAUGACUGAGUUCAAUGCUUCAACGUUAAUCUUGGAAAGAUCACCACAGUCGACAGGCAGUUCUCUAGAGGCUGAACAGGUGGAUGGAGGGCCUGAAACAACUGACAGCCCACAGAGCCAGGCAAGACACUACAAAGUUCUGCAGGAGCUAUACAAAUCCAGGCCCAGACCCAACAACAAGGAUGUUGCCCAGCUGUUGGACCUUGAAUACCAAGCACGACAGACUUAUAUUGACUCCGAUGUUAUGAAGGAGCAGGACAGGACAGGCCACCGAGAUUCUUCAAGCAUAUCCCUGCUUCAGAAAAGUGGAUCAUUCUGCAGAGGACCCCAACACUUUUCUUCAGGCAAGACCACUCUUCAGCCCUGUGGCCAUCGUAUGUGAAACCAACUGCAUACUGGCCAUGGGAACCAUGCCUGUGCUGAUCUUCCCAAAAGAGGACAUCUCUGACAGUGUGAUGUAUAUCAUGGCAUGUUACAACACAUUUCACCUCACAUAUCCCAAGUGCAUAGCCAUACUUCCUCAUAUAAAAUGCUAUGGCUGAGUGGAGAAGUUUAUCACUGAGUAGAACAUUAGUAAUAAAGUUGAAGCCCUGUUCCAGUAAUGUUUGCCUUGGAUGAUACAGUUUGUUGAGCUGUCACAGGAAUUUGGCACUGUGUCAGAUGUUUAUAUAUUAUUAUGUAUAUUGUUAUACAGUUAAAAUUUCAGUUUACCAGCCUCAGUCUUGUCCAGUGGCUGUCAUGUUUUGUUCUUAUUUCAGGAAUUUUAAGAAAAUUAUUCUACAUAAUGAGAAAAAUAUUCAAGAAAAGUACAACAGUUUUCAGUAUAGCUUGCUGUUUCAAGAAAUAUAAUCCCUAGUGCAUGGUAUUAUUACAAGAUGACGGCACUAGCAUUUUCUUAAUUUAAGAAUAUUUUAAAAUAUUUUGAGAAAAUAGCUCUCAUAUAUUUCAUUUCAAUCAAGAAAAAUGCACUUCAUAUUAGUGAGAAUACACUCAUUUUGAGGUAUUUGUGCAUUCAUUGAGGUUAGAUUUGUUUACUUGUUUCGGAGAGUCUUGACAAGCCACAUUUUGUUGUUCUGUUUAAUUUUGCUCAUUUUAAUUAAUAUGCACCUAAUUUUUGAAUUUUUUUGUUGUUUUUGAAAGCAUGCUCUUGCAGUAACUUCUGUCUUGAUGGCAUUUACAGUAGACCAGUCCAGUUUCUCUGUGUUUAUGCUUCUAACUACAGCAGAUAGCAUUGGUAGCUUUUCUAGAUUCACUGACAUAGAAAAUGGUAUGUAAUUAGCAAUGGCAUAGUCAUAGUAUAUAAAUCUUUGUGGCAUUUGUGCAAAUACAGUGAUCCAGCCAUGGGGUUGUACGCCACGCUUCACUGAUGUAAAUAUAACUAUUAGCAGGCAUUGUCAGCAUUAAUGUCCACUACAAUAAAUUCAACUUGAGUAGAGGAACUAACAAAUGCUAAUCUAUUUACAUAUUCAGCCUCAUUCUGGGAGAACU